rnacentral:rRNA from 1 species
UUGAACGCUGGCGGAAUGCUUUACACAUGCAAGUCGAGCGGCAGCGCGGGGGCAACCCUGGCGGCGAGCGGCGAACGGGUGAGUAACAUAUCGGAACGUACCCUGUCGUGGGGGAUAACACAGCGAAAGCUGUGCUAAUACCGCAUACGACCUGAGGGUGAAAGCGGGGGAUCGCAAGACCUCGCGCGAUAGGAGCGGCCGAUAUCGGAUUAGCUUGUUGGUGAGGUAAAGGCUCACCAAGGCGACGAUCUGUAGCUGGUCUGAGAGGACGACCAGCCACACUGGGACUGAGACACGGCCCAGACUCCUACGGGAGGCAGCAGUGGGGAAUUUUGGACAAUGGGCGAAAGCCUGAUCCAGCCAUGCCGCGUGCAGGAUGAAGGCCUUCGGGUUGUAAACUGCUUUUGUACGGAACGAAAAGACUCCUUCUAAUAAAGGGGGUUCAUGACGGUACUGUAAGAAUAAGCACCGGCUAACUACGU